ensembl:lncRNA
UUGAGAACACCUGUAUUUAACCAGGUAGGCUAGUUGAGAACACCUUUAUUUAACCAGGUAGGCUAGUUGAGAACACCUGUAUUUAACCAGGUAGGCUAGUUGAGAACACCUUUAUUUAACCAGGUAGACUAGUUGAGAACACCUGUAUUUAACCAGGUAGGCUAGUUGAGAACACCUUUAUUUAACCAGGUAGGCUAGUUGAGAACACCUUUAUUUAACCAGGUAGGCUAGUUGAGAACACCUUUAUUUAACCAGGUAGGCCAGUUGAGAACACCUGUAUUUAACCAGGUAGGCUAGUUGAGAACACCUUUAUUUAACCAGGUAGGCUAGUUGAG